rnacentral:lncRNA from 1 species
AUAUUCUGAUACUAUAUUAAUACUCUGAUAUUAUAUAAAUUAUCGUAUCUCCGAACCGAAAUCAUGAGCCAAAAGUAAUGGUGCAACUACCGUAAACUUUUCAUACAUGAGUCUAAUAAAUAUAUAUGGGUCCUAUAAGAGGAGGGACCAUAUAACACAUACUUAAUCCCAAGAGAGAGAAAGAGACGUGUGCAUAAGGAACAUGACCCACAUAUAGGCAC